AGACCAUGGUAGGGAGAUCUUCUUUGAAGAUUCUUGAAUCUCUCUCAAAUUUCAUAUAACAACUCACUUUCAUGUUGAAUAAAACCUGUGAUAUCUAUACGAAGUUU